rnacentral:rRNA from 1 species
GAUGAACGCUGGCGGCGUGCCUAAUACAUGCAAGUCGAGCGAACAGACGAGGAGCUUGCUCCUCUGACGUUAGCGGCGGACGGGUGAGUAACACGUGGAUAACCUACCUAUAAGACUGGGAUAACUUCGGGAAACCGGAGCUAAUACCGGAGAAUAUGUUGAAUCGCAUGGUUCAACAGUGAAAGACGGUCUUGCUGUCACUUAUAGAUGGAUCCGCGCCGCAUUAGCUAGUUGGUAAGGUAACGGCUUACCAAGGCAACGAUGCGUAGCCGACCUGAGAGGGUGAUCGGCCACACUGGAACUGAGACACGGUCCAGAGUCCUACGGGAGGCAGCAGUAGGGAAUCUGCCGCAAUGGGCGAAAGCCUGACGGAGCAACGCCGCGGGAGGGAAGAAGGUCUUCGGAUCGUAAAACUCUGUUAUUAGGGAAGAAAAAAUGUGUAAGUAACUAUGCACGUCUUGACGGUACCUAAGCAGAAAGCCACGGCUAACUACGUGC